rnacentral:rRNA from 1 species
UCAUGGCUCAGAACGAACGCUGGCGGCGCGUUUAAGCAUGCAAGUCGAGCGGCAAGGGCCUUCGGGCCCCUAGAGCGGCGGACGGGUGAGUAACAUGUGGACAAUCUGCCCCCCGGCCCGGGAUAGCCCAGGGAAACCUGGAUUAAUACCGGAUGAGACGGGACCUGCGAUGGCGGGAUCCGGGAAAGGCGCUACGGCGCCGCCGGGGGAUGAGUCUGCGUCCCAUUAGCUAGACGGCGGGGUAACGGCCCACCGUGGCGACGAUGGGUAGCCGGCCUGAGAGGGUGGACGGCCACAUUGGAACUGAGACGCGGUCCAGACUCCUACGGGAGGCAGCAGCUAAGAAUCUUCCGCAAUGGGCGAAAGCCUGACGGAGCGACGCCGCCGUGAACGAAGAAGGCCGUGAGGUUGUAAAGUUCUUUUCGGGAGGGGGAACAACCGUGGCAGGGAAUGGCCGCGGGAUGACGUGAAUCCCGGAAUAAGCCCCGGCUAACUACGUGCCAGCAGCAGC